rnacentral:rRNA from 1 species
AGUGGACGCUGGCGGUAGGCUUAACACAUGCAAGUCGAACGGCAGCACAGUAAGUGUUUGCUCUUAUGGGUGGCGAGUGGCGGACGGGUGAGGAAUACAUCGGACUCUACUCUUUCGUGGGGGAUCACGUAGGUGAACUUACUCUAAUACCGCAUACGCCCUACGGGUGAAAGCAGGGGAUCUUCGGACCUUGCGCGAUUGAAUGAGCCGAUGUCGGAUUAGCUAGUUGGCGGGGUAAAGGCCCACCAAGGCGACGAUCCGUAGCUGGUCUGAGAGGAUGAUCAGCCACACUGGAACUGAGACACGGUCCAGACUCCUACGGGAGGCAGCAGUGGGGAAUAUUGGACAAUGGGCGCAAGCCUGAUCCAGCCGUACCGCGUGGGUGAAGAAGGCCUUCGGGUUGUAAAGCCCUUUUGUUGGGAAAGAAAAGCAGCAGGUUAAUACCCCGCUGUUCUGACGGUACCGAAAGAAUAAGCACCGGCUAACUUCGUG